CUUACACAUGCAAGUCGAACGGCAGCACGGGUGCUUGCACCUGGUGGCGAGUGGCGAACGGGUGAGUAAUACAUCGGAACAUGUCCUGUAGUGGGGGAUAGCCCGGCGAAAGCCGGAUUAAUACCGCAUACGAUCUACGGAUGAAAGCGGGGGACCUUCGGGCCUCGCGCUAUAGGGUUGGCCGAUGGCUGAUUAGCUAGUUGGUGGGGUAAAGGCCUACCAAGGCGACGAUCAGUAGCUGGUCUGAGAGGACGACCAGCCACACUGGGACUGAGACACGGCCCAGACUCCUACGGGAGGCAGCAGUGGGGAAUUUUGGACAAUGGGCGAAAGCCUGAUCCAGCAAUGCCGCGUGUGUGAAGAAGGCCUUCGGGUUGUAAAGCACUUUUGUCCGGAAAGAAAUCCUUGGUUCUAAUAUAGCCGGGGGAUGACGGUACCGGAAGAAUAAGCACCGGCUAACUACGUGCCAGCAGCCGCGGUAAUACGUAGGGUGCGAGCGUUAAUCGGAAUUACUGGGCGUAAAGCGUGCGCAGGCGGUUUGCUAAGACCGAUGUGAAAUCCCCGGGCUCAACCUGGGAACUGCAUUGGUGACUGGCAGGCUAGAGUAUGGCAGAGGGGGGUAGAAUUCCACGUGUAGCAGUGAAAUGCGUAGAGAUGUGGAGGAAUACCGAUGGCGAAGGCAGCCCCUGGGCCAAUACUGACGCUCAUGCACGAAAGCGUGGGGAGCAAACAGG
rnacentral:rRNA from 1 species